UUGCUUUAUCAGCACAUACACUAAAAUUGGCACAAUACAGAGAAGAUUAGCAUGGCCCCUGUACUAUUAUGGUACGUAAAUUUGAAAAAUGUUCCAUAUUUUU